GUGGGUACCUCCUCCUUUGAUCAUUGAUAGCUCAAAAUCGUUGUGCUUCUUCCAUGUGGAGUUCCUACACAGAAAAUUUAAACAAAAAAAAAACUACUAGUUUACUAUUUACUCUUAGUCCUAACAAUUUAAAUAAAUGAAAAAUCAUAUAAAAAUUAAUACAACUUUAAAAACAAAAACUAAAACUUCAGUCAUCCUCCUCAAAAUCCAUCUCAUCAUCUUUUUCCCCCUCCUCAUCUCCUUCUUCUUCUUCACUCUCCUAUUCCACUUCUUCUUACUUUGGAUGUGUCGGCCCAAACAUAUCUAGUGUAUAAUUAGAUACUAUAAUAUUGUUUUGACAUGCGAAUUCCUGAAACAUCGGGCCCG
rnacentral:lncRNA from 1 species